AGUACUAAGUGUCUUUGGAAGAGAUUUAAGGAACGCUCCCACGGUGGGGAUGGAACUCGCGACCUCCCGGUCGAUAGGCGGACACCGUAUCAUCCAUUACAUCACGGCGACCUCCAGGUCGUGAUAUUGUGGGACCCGUAUUGACCUCACGUGACCCAGGCGAGAUAAAUGCUGACGACGAGAGAUGAACAAAGGCGAUCACACAGGCUCACCAAAAGCACGUUAGACUAAGCGUACCAAGAGAAGAAGCCCGUGCUGCAGUAUUUGAAGCUCUCAAUCGGCGAGUGCAACCGGAAGUACCAACCAACGACAUGAUCACAAUGAUGGACACUGUUCUAAAUAACAACACCAUUUCAUUCAAUGGAGACCACUACAUGCAAAAUGAAGGAACUGCUAUAGGAUCGCACUUAGGAAUGAAUUACGCAUCGACCUACAUGGGAGCCUGGGAGACAGAGUUAUUUUCAAAAUCAAACAAACAUCCAAUAGCCUACUUCCGGUUUGUUGAUGAUGUUUGGGGCUUGUGGACACAUGGUUUGGAGGCACUAAAGACAUUCCAUGCGGUUGCAAAUGAAAUCCAUCCACGAAUACAGCUAGAGCUCCGUUACUCCACAGAGCAGCUCGAAUUUCUAGACACCAUGACGUCUAUUCGAAAAGGAAGGCUGGUUUCAGACCUAUAUACCAAACCAACAGAUCGGCACCUCUACCUGCACAUGGACUCGUCGCAUACCGAGUCUACGAAGAAGGCCAUUCCGUACGGCUUAGGUGUGAGGCUAAAAAGAAUAUGUUCGGAAGAGACGGACUACA